GACAGAGGUGCCGAGCGUUAGGCGGAAUCAUCGUGGGCUUAAAGCGUGUUGUAGGCGGACUCGUAAAGUGCUUUGUGAAAUCCCACGGCUCACCCGUGGAACUGCUUGGCAUACUGCGAGCCUUUGAGCCACUUAGGGGCAACCGGAACAAACGGUGGGAGCGGAUGAAAUGCGUAGAAUAUCGUUUGGAACGCCAAUGGUGAAAACAGGUUGCUGGGAGUGCGCUGACGCUGAGACACGAAAGCCAGGGGAGCGAACGGG
rnacentral:rRNA from 1 species